GGCGAUCAGAUACCGCCCUAGUUCUGACCGUAAACGAUGCCAACUAGCGAUCUGCCAGUCGACUCAUCGCUCUGGUGGGGAGCUUCCCGGAAACGAAAGUCUUCCGGUUCCGGGGGAAGUAUGGUUGCAAAGCUGAAACUUAAAGGAAUUGACGGAAGGGCACCACCAGGAGUGGAGCCUGCGGCUUAAUUUGACUCAACACGGGGAAACUCACCCGGCCCGGACACCGUAAGGAUUGACAGAUUGAUAGCUUUUUCAUGAUUCGGUGGAUGGUGGUGCAUGGCCGUUCUUAGUUCGUGGAGCGAUUUGUCUGGUUUAUUCCGAUAACGAGCGAGACUCUGGCCUACUAAAUAGUUGACGCAUUGCCACUGUGCGCACAACUUCUUAGAGGGAUUUUCGGUGUUUUCAACCGCACGAAAUUGAGCAAUAACAGGUCUGUGAUGCCCUUAGAUGUCCGGGGCUGCACGCGCGCUACACUGGCAAACGCAACGUGCCUGUCCUGCCCCGAAAGGAGCGGGUAAACCCCUGAAAUUUUGCCGUGAUUGGGAUCGGACAUUGCAACUAUUGUCCGUGAACGAGGAAUUCCUUGUAGGGGCGAGUCAUCAACUCGUCCCGA
rnacentral:rRNA from 1 species